CCUACGGGUGGCAGCAGUGAGGAAUAUUGGUCAAUGGACGCAAGUCUGAACCAGCCAUGCCGCGUGCAGGAAGACGGCUCUAUGAGUUGUAAACUUCUUUUGUACGAGGAUAAACUCAUAUACGUGUGUCUUUCUGAAAGUAUCAUACGAAUAAGGAUCGGCUAACUCCGUGCCAGCAGCCGCGGUAAUACGGAGGAUUCAAGCGUUAUCCGGAUUUAUUGGGUUUAAAGGGUGCGUAGGCGGUCGGAUAAGUUAGAGGUGAAAUCCCGAGGCUCAACUGCGGAAUUGCCGUUGAUACUGUUAGGCUAGAGAGUAGUUGAGGUAGGCGGAAUGCAUGGUGUAGCGGUGAAAUGCUUAGAGAUCACAAAGAACACCGAUUGCGAAGGCAGCUUACCAAGCUACUUCUGACGUUGAGGCACGAAAGCGUGGGGAGCAAACAGGAUUAGAUACCCUAGUAGUC
rnacentral:rRNA from 1 species